UACGAAGGGGGCUAGCGUUGUUCGGAAUCACUGGGCGUAAAGGGCGCGUAGGCGGCCUGGCAAGUCGGGGGUGAAAGCCUGUGGCUCAACCACAGAAUGGCCUUCGAUACUGCCGGGCUUGAGACCGGAAGAGGUCAGUGGAACUGCGAGUGUAGAGGUGAAAUUCGUAGAUAUUCGCAAGAACACCAGUGGCGAAGGCGGCUCACUGGCCCGAUACUGACGCUGAGGUGCGAAAGCGUGGGGAGCAAACAGG
rnacentral:rRNA from 1 species